AAUGAAGUUUUGAAUGGGUUUCAAUGGCUCCAAGCCCAGGUUGUCCACCAGCAGCGGUAGAUCACCACCAGGGGGCAGCACUAUGACGUCAGCUGCAACCCAAGAAUUUCCCCCUUACUGUGGCUAGUUUGGAUGAGAUGACUUGACCCUAGCUAGCAUAACAUAAAUGGCAGCUAGCUCUACACUAUUUCGGGCAUUCGUUAACAAUCAGUGUUCAGAUAACUAGCGCAAACGUGCCGAGAUAUCUUGUUUAUUAUAAAAAUAAACGCUUGUGUUGUGCCAUGGCUUAUAUGGUGAUGACGUUUGAGAUUGUAAAUUUACGGGCCACAGAUGUGUCUAUGGUAAGGCCGACCUGACGAGAUAGCUGCCUACUGAGGUUUGGAUAUGGACAUUGUUUAUUUCAGAAGGAAAAUGUUUGGAGUGGAAUUGUUUGGAAGACAAUCUUGGGACAAUUUUGCUCUUUGGGUCUUUGUGCCAACCAUGCCAGCUAUCGUAGGGUGCUCUGGGAACUUCUUAGAUCUGUUUACUGUAUGUACACUUACUGAAAUAAGCAUUUUGUUUACAUAAAAUCCCUUGUCAUUUCACCACUAGGUUUGAAACCCAGACAGCACGAAGCAUCUUGCCGACGUCAAAAUCAGAUCAACAGACAGGGACAUCAGCCUUCUCUUGGGAAUAGGCCAGAUAUGCCAUAACAAGAAAUGGUGUUUUGCCCCUGCGGUUGUGAAGAGGAUGCUGUGGAGGUGGCAGCAUGAACGUGUCACACAGACAUUGGCUAAACUACUCGGCUUCUACACUUGCCCUCAGAGUUCACAUAUGGUGAAGUGCACAGGUGUCCAGUCAGGUUCAGACUGAUGCUGGUAACAAGAGGAAAACAUGCUAAUUGAUGACCUUUCCAGCAUGUCCAACUCAUCAGCAUCAGGGGAGGAGAGUCGGUGAAGGUGGUGCACCAUCCAGGACCAGUCAUGGGCCACCAACACCUCUGCAAAAUCUGCACUUCUUGUGAACCCUCUAGAAGACACUACAACCACAAAACUGCUAAUAAACCAUCACAUACUACAUCA